GAUCAGUGUCCAGCAGGCUGGUGUUAAAGCCGUGGAGUGAGUGAGCACAUUCCAGAAACAGAAAUAAUCUCGUCUCCAUUUUCCUGUCUCUGAAAAUGAAGAAAAUGGAUGGCAGCUAUGCCUGAUCUACCUCUGCUGAGUGUCUUCUAUGCUGCGCUGUGACUUGUGACUAUGGAAUCUGUUUACUGAAAAUGAUUCAUAUGGAAGUUGUACCCGUCAGCACCUGCUGAGGGCUUCGUUGAUCAAAAAAUCAGGUAAAAAAAUUCCUGUAGAAUAAAGCCAGACCAGCUGGCUUUGAAGAGAAGCCCCCCAGUUUGGGUUGUGUUUGCCUCACUCACCCUCUGCGCUGCAGAC
rnacentral:lncRNA from 1 species